CACGUAGGGAGCAAGCGUUGUCCGGAUUUAUUGGGCGUAAAGAGCUCGUAGGCUGUUCGAUAAGUCGGGUGUGAAACCUCCAGGCUCAACCUGGAGACGCCACCCGAUACUGUCAUGACUAGAGUCCGGUAGGGGAGCGUGGAAUUCCUGGUGUAGCGGUGAAAUGCGCAGAUAUCAGGAGGAACACCAAUGGGCGAAGGCAGCUCGCUGGGACGGUACUGACGCUGAGACGCGAAAGCGUGGGGAGCGAACAGG
rnacentral:rRNA from 1 species